UGGGGAAUAUUGCACAAUGGACGGAAGUUUGAUGCAGCGACGCCGCGUGGAGGGUGUAGGCCUUCGGGUUGUGAACUCCUUUUUCUCGCGAAAAAGGCACAGUUUUGGCUGUGUUGAUGGUAGUGGGGGAAGAAGCGCCGGCUAACUACGUGCCAGCAGCCGCGGUAAUACGUAGGGCGCGAGCGUUGUCCGGAUUUAUUGGGCGUAAAGAGCUCGUAGGUGGUUCGUCGCGUCUGUCGUGAAAGCCAGCAGCUUAACUGUUGGCCUGCGGUGGGUACGGGCGGGCUUGAGUGCGGUAGGGGUGACUGGAAUUCCUGGUGUAGCGGUGGAAUGCGCAGAUAUCAGGAGGAACACCGAUGGCGAAGGCAGGUCACUGGGCCGUUACUGACACUGAGGAGCGAAAGCGUGGGGAGCGAACAGG
rnacentral:rRNA from 1 species